GACGAACGCUGGCGGCGUGCUUAACACAUGCAAGUCGAGCGGCGCGGCGAACGGGUGAGUAACGCGUGAGUAACUGCCCCCCUCUCUGGGAUAACAGUUGGAAACGGCUGCUAAUACAGGAUAGUGGGGGAUGACUCGCGUCCUAUCAGCUUGUUGGUGGGGUAGUGGCCUACCAAGGCGACGACGGGUAGCCGGCCUGGGGGGGCGACCGGCCACACUGGUCUGCGAUACGGCCCAAACUCGUACGGGGGGCAGUGGGGGGGAGUAUUGCGCAGUGGGGGAAACCCUGUGGAAGAGACGCCGCGUGCGGGAUGACGUCCUUGGGGUUGUAAACCGCUUUCAGCCAUGACGCGGUAGUGGCAGAAGAAGCACCGGCUAACUACGUGCCAGCAGCCGCGGUAAUUC
rnacentral:rRNA from 1 species